GAUGAACGCUGGCGGCGUGCCUAAUACAUGCAAGUAGAACGCUGAAGGAGGAGCUUGCUCUUCUGGAUGAGUUGCGAACGGGUGAGUAACGCGUAGGUAACCUGCCUGGUAGCGGGGGAUAACUAUUGGAAACGAUAGCUAAUACCGCAUGACAACAGUUAUUGCAUGAUAACUGUUUAAAAGGGGCAACUGCUCCACUACCAGAUGGACCUGCGUUGUAUUAGCUAGUUGGUGAGGUAACGGCUCACCAAGGCGACGAUACAUAGCCGACCUGAGAGGGUGAGGGGUCACACUGGGACUGAGACACGGCCAGGAGUCCGACGGGGGGCAGCAGGAGGGACGUUUCGGAAAUGGACGGAAGUAUGGACGAGCAACGGCGCGGGAGUGAAGAAGGUUUUCGGAUCGUAAAGCUCUGUUGUAAGAGAAGAACGAGUGGGAGAGUGGAAAGUUCACACUGUGACGGGAGCUUACCAGAAAGGGACGGCUAACUAAGUG
rnacentral:rRNA from 1 species